GACGAACGCUGGCGGCGUGCUUAACACAUGCCAGUCGAACGGAAAGGCCCUGCUUGCAGGGUACUCGAGUGGCGAACGGGUGAGUAACACGUGGGUGAUCUGCCCUGCACUUCGGGAUAAGCCUGGGAAACUGGGUCUAAUACCGGAUAGGAGCCAUUUUUAGUGUGAUGGUUGGAAAGUUUUUUCGGUGUAGGAUGAGCUCGCGGCCUAUCAGCUUGUUGGUGGGGUAAUGGCCUACCAAGGCGGCGACGGGUAGCCGGCCUGAGAGGGUGGACGGCCACAUUGGGACUGAGAUACGGCCCAGACUCCUACGGGAGGCAGCAGUGGGGAAUAUUGCACAAUGGGCGCAAUCCUGAUGCAGCGACGCCGCGUGGGGGAUGACGGCCUUCGGGUUGGAAACUCCUUUCGCUAGGGACGAAGCUUUUUGUGACGGUACCUAGAUAAGAAGCACCGGCUAACUACGUG
rnacentral:rRNA from 1 species